CCUACGGGAGGCUGCAGUGAGGAAUAUUGGUCAAUGGGCGCGAGCCUGAACCAGCCAAGUCGCGUGAGGGAUGAAGGUUCUAUGGAUCGUAAACCUCUUUUAUAAGGGAAUAAAGUGUGGGACGUGUCCUAUUUUGUAUGUACCUUAUGAAUAAGGAUCGGAUAACUCGGGGCCACAAGCCGCGGUAAUACGGGGGAUCCGAGCGUGAUCGGGAUUUUUUGGGUUUAAAGGGUGCGUAGGCGGCCUUUUAAGUCAGCGGUGAAAGUCUGUGGCUCAACCAAAGAAUUGCCGGUGAAACUGGGUGGCUUGAGUAUGUUUGAGGCAGGCGGAAUGCGUGGUGUAGCGGUGCAAUGCUUAGAUAUCACGCAGAACCCCGAUUGCGAAGGCAGCCUGCCAAGCCAUGACUGACGCUGAUGCACGAAAGCGUGGGGAUCAAACAGGAUUAGAUACCCUAGUAGUC
rnacentral:rRNA from 1 species